rnacentral:rRNA from 1 species
GACGUAGGGCGCGAGCGUUGUCCGGAAUUAUUGGGCGUAAAGAGCUCGUAGGCGGUCUGUCGCGUCUGGUGUGAAAACUCAAGGCUUAACCUUGGGCCUGCAUCGGGUACGGGCAGACUAGAGUGCGGUAGGGGAGACUGGAAUUCCUGGUGUAGCGGUGAAAUGCGCAGAUAUCAGGAGGAACACCGGUGGCGAAGGCGGGUCUCUGGGCCGUAACUGACGCUGAGGAGCGAAGGCAUGGGGAGCGAACAGG